AUUUAGCAUUUUGUGUUGGGUUUUCCCUUUCGUCAUGGAGAAAUCCCUUUAGAGUACCAACUCCAUCAAGUGGCUGCUCAGCUCAAUGUCCGCUACUUCUCAACAGAAACUUUAUUUCCAUUGUGUUAUUGGCACCUGGGGUGUCAUGAUGGUGUUCACCUUCGUGAGAACUAUGGGAUGGACAUACUGGCAUAUUUGAUAUGGCAGACGUCAUAGGCUACUGGAUCAUAGGAAGCCAGCAUCGCACCUGCCGCCCUUCCACAUUUUCCUGUUAAGCUCCAGAUACAAGACAGGAGGUGUCUGGAUCGUCAGUGAUGGUUACCAGCACAUUUGGCAAAAAAGAUGUUUAUUGAGAUUUUCCAGUUUUUGCACUUCAAAAGCUUCCUGCCCAUCUUCCUCAAAACGCCCCACCACCUCAUUGUCCUUGGCAUGAGGUGGGUGGUUUGACAUUUGGUGGCAGUGGUGGGAUUUUUUUCGUCUCUGAGGCUGGAGAACCUGAAGAAGCUAAGUCGCUCCAACAGCGUGAAGAAGACCAUGCAAAGCGACCAAGGGGCCAUGGAGGACAGCAGCCAUUCCAAGAUUUGAAGACAGAGAUGAUAUUAAACAAUAUUUAACAUUU